UAAAAGUUGGAAAAGUCGGCAAAAGUUCCAAAAAUGCCCCACAAGUCCCGCCGCCGGGAUGCCCAAAAUGUCCAAAACUCGCCCAGUAAAGUCCCACGGUGUGGCGGGGAGAAAAGUGAGAAAAGUCGGUAAAAUGUUCAAAAAUCCCACCCGGGCACUCGAACUCAAACUCGAACCUGGGUGGGACUCGAACCUGGAUAGGUAUUUUUAAAAUGUUUGGGGACUUUUGCUGACUUUUCCAGCUUUCAUCCCCCCCCCGCGGGACUCGGCUGGGUGUGUUAUGGACAUUUUGGGCAUCCCGGGACUUGCGCGGCCAGCGGCGUGACUUGUGGGACUCGAACCUGGACUUAUUCAACUUUCAUACCCCCUCCUCAUGGGACUCGGCUGGGUGUGUUAUGGACAUUUUGGGCAUCCCGGGACUUGUGCGGCCGGCUAAGGGACUCGUGGAACUGAAACCCAGGGAGGUAUUUUGGACAAAAUUGGGACUUUUGAACAUUUUGGCUGCCUUUUCCCCUCUUCUUUCCCGCUUUCCUGUGCACCAUUGCUGGGUGUGUUUUGGACAUUUGGAGAAAAAUUGUUUCAAGCAUGUUUUACUCAACAUGGGUCAUCACAUCUCAGCAACAAGCUGUAAUAUCUUACUGACAUCAUUUCGGAUCAAAACCCUUAAAACAAGUAAAACACUCGAACAUAAAAUCUUAUGUAUGGCCGCGCAAGUCCCGGGAUGCCCAAAAUGUCCAAAACACACCCAGCCGAGUCCCACUGGGAGGGUGGAUAAAAGUUGGAAAAGUCGUCAAUUGUCCCAAAAAUUUUCUAAAUACCUACCCAGGUUCGAGUCACACAAGUCCCGCCGCUAGUCGGGAUGCCCAAAAUGUCCAAAAUGCGCCCGGCAAAGUCCCACAGGGUGGCGGGGAGAAAAGUGAGAAAAGUCGGUAAAAUGUUCAAAAAUCACAUUAGAACUCAAACUGGAACUUGGGUGGGACUCAAACCUGGGUAGGUAUUUUUAACAUUUUUGGGGACUUUUGCCGACUUUUCCAACUUUUAUACCCCCUCCUCAUGGGACUCGGCUGGGUGUGUUAUGGACAUUUUGGGCAUCCCGGGACUUGUGCGGCCGGCUAAGGGACUCGUGGAACUGAAACCCAGGGAGGUAUUUUGGACAAAAUUGGGACUUUUGAACAUUUUGGCUGCCUUUUCCCCUCUUCUUUCCCGCUUUCCUGUGCACCAUUGCUGGGUGUGUUUUGGACAUUUGGAGAAAAAUUGUUUCAAGCAUGUUUUACUCAACAUGGGUCAUCACAUCUCAGCAACAAGCUGUAAUAUCUUACUGACAUCAUUUCGGAUCAAAACCCUUAAAACAAGUAAAACACUCGAACAUAAAAUCUUAUGUAUGGCCGCGCAAGUCCCGGGAUGCCCAAAAUGUCCAAAACACACCCAGCCGAGUCCCACUGGGAGGGUGGAUAAAAGUUGGAAAAGUCGUCAAUUGUCCCAAAAAUUUUCUAAAUACCUACCCAGGUUCGAGUCACACAAGUCCCGCCGCUAGUCGGGAUGCCCAAAAUGUCCAAAAUGCGCCCGGCAAAGUCCCACAGGGUGGCGGGGAGAAAAGUGAGAAAAGUCGGUAAAAUGUUCAAAAAUCACAUUAGAACUCAAACUGGAACUUGGGUGGGACUCAAACCUGGGUAGGUAUUUUUAACAUUUUUGGGGACUUUUGCCGACUUUUCCAACUUUUAUACCCCCUCCUCAUGGGACUCGGCUGGGUGUGUUAUGGACAUUUUGGGCAUCCCGGGACUUGUGCGGCCGGCUGUGGGACUCGUGGAACUGAAACCCGGGGAGGUAUUUUGGACAAAAUUUGGACUUUUGAACAUUUUGGCUGCCUUUUCCCCUCUUCUUUCCCGCUUUCCUGUGCACCAUUGCUGGGUGUGUUUUGGACAUUUGGAGAAAAAUUGUUUCAAGCAUGUUUUACUCAACAUGGGUCAUCAAAUCUCAGCAACAAGCUGUAAUAUCUUACUGACAU